GAAAAGGUCUUCCGGUCUCAGAGCCAGAAGAUUAUAAAAGUCGUUGGAAUUUCCAUAAGUUAUUAGUUAAAUGAGGGAGGGUGGAGUCGGAAAAUAUCUGUCGAUAAAUUUUCACGGGAAGGAAAUAAAGGGAUAGACCUUGACGGACCAACAGAGGCGGUGCAGAGACGUGCAGUGUUGCUUUUUACUACAAAUGCCGCUGUUAUUCUGAAACAAACAGCUUCCUCUAAAAUCACUGCUUAACGCAGAGAUUAAAUUCACAAUAUUGGUAAGGUAAUGAAGAACCUGCGAUCUCAAGGCUGAGUUACAGAACCAACCUGAAUUGAUGUCUGGCAUGAUGAAAGAAGGCAAAUUUUGGUGUCUCUCAGACAAGCCUUACUGUCAUUGCAUUCUCUCAGCAUGCCAGCUCAAACCAAGAUUUCAAAUGCCAAUUCCCAACAAAUUCCGCUCGAUGCUUCCAUCAGCUUUGGUUCCUGUUAUUCUCAUCUACCAGAAUAAGAACUGGAAUAUGCUCUAUUAUGGAGACCGGGCCCUUAAACGGUUUGAUUCCACCAGCUGGAGAGAUUUUGCAGUCAAAAACAAUCUUAUGGUUGGAGAUGGCUGCGUGUUUGAACUCCUGGAAUGUAGUAGCAAGCUUAUCAAGAUGAGAGUACAAAUUCUGAGUGGUGAAGUUCCAUAUGAGCUCUUGAAAAGAGUAAGUGGUGAGAGUUUUGAGACACCUAUUAUAUUUGAUUAGCUCUCAUAUUCAAACUCAUUAAGAUUUGAGUUCAGAUCGGAUUUUGA